ACUGCAGAAACACAAGUUAACAUUCUGAGGAAUCAGCAGCCCUGACCACCCCAGCAUGCUGGGACCGGGUCUUCUCGGAGUCGGGUUGCUUGGGAAUGCAGCCCAAAGCUGGUGGUAAACUCCAUUUAAGGCUAAAUCCUGGCACAAGACGGAUAGUCAACAAGUACCAUAAGGGAAAGUUGCAAAGAACUUUGAAGAGAGAGUUCAAGAGGGCGUGAAACCAUUAAGAGGUAAAUCGGUGGGGUCUGCACAGUCUGCCUGGAGGAUUCCUUUCUUCCCAUUUCUACUUCCCAGUUUAUUCAGUUAAACAGCUACCUUAUUUUAGCUCAUAAGAGAUCCUUUCUGUGCUGCUCAGCUCUCUGCCUCCUUUACUCCCAUUAUAUACUUUCUCCUAUUUUAUCCUGCUUUAAGAAUUCUAGAGCUUCCCACAAAGUUUAUUUCAAAUAGCCACCCAACUGCCUGCAAUGCAA
rnacentral:ncRNA from 1 species